rnacentral:rRNA from 1 species
CAGUCGACGAGUUCUCGUUGAUGAUCGGUGCUUGCACCGAGAUUCAACAUGGAACGAGUGGCGGACGGGUGAGUAACACGUGGGUAACCUGCCCUUAAGUGGGGGAUAACAUUUGGAAACAGAUGCUAAUACCGCAUAGAUCCAAGAACCGCAUGGUUCUUGGCUGAAAGAUGGCGUAAGCUAUCGCUUUUGGAUGGACCCGCGGCGUAUUAGCUAGUUGGUGAGGUAAUGGCUCACCAAGGCGAUGAUACGUAGCCGAACUGAGAGGUUGAUCGGCCACAUUGGGACUGAGACACGGCCCAAACUCCUACGGGAGGCAGCAGUAGGGAAUCUUCCACAAUGGACGCAAGUCUGAUGGAGCAACGCCGCGUGAGUGAAGAAGGCUUUCGGGUCGUAAAACUCUGUUGUUGGAGAAGAAUGGUCGGCAGAGUAACUGUUGCCGGCGUGACGGUAUCCAACCAGAAAGCCACGGCUAACUACGUGCCAGCAGCCGCGGUAAUACGUAGGUGGCAAGCGUUAUCCGGAUUUAUUGGGCGUAAAGCGAGUGCAGGCGGUUUUUUAAGUCUGAUGUGAAAGCCCUCGGCUUAACCGAGGAAGCGCAUCGGAAACUGGGAAACUUGAGUGCAGAAGAGGACAGUGGAACUCCAUGUGUAGCGGUGAAAUGCGUAGAUAUAUGGAAGAACACCAGUGGCGAAGGCGGCUGUCUGGUCUGUAACUGACGCUGAGGCUCGAAAGCAUGGGUAGCGAACAGGAUUAGAUACCCUGGUAGUCCAUGCCGUAAACGAUGAAUGCUA